GCAGCUCUGAUUACCUCAGACUCACUGAAAAUGUCAGAAACUGUUCAGCCUUUUCUGUUCAAUCUAAAGGUGGACAAUGAUGGAGGACUCAAGAAGAAGAGACAACAUGUCGAAUGCAACAGGACGCUUCUGACCGGUUAGUUGAUGAUGUAGCUGAUGUGGAGCAAAGAAAUUAUACCGACAAGUGAAAGCCAAUAGGUAAUAAGUGUAAUGGUUGGAUAUAAACAUAACAUAUAUAACAUAACAUAAAACACUGAUUUUCUAAAAAUGCUCACUUCAAAUGUUGUUUCAACAAAAUGUAUUUAACAGAUAAUAUAUUUAAUACAUUUAUUUCCAACAUGUACAAUAUUUAAAAUAUUAGUAACCGUGCACAGUUCAGUUGUUCAUCUUUUUUAAGUUAUUGCACAGUCAUUAGAUUCAGAUGUAAUUCUAUUAUCUUACACAUUGCUCUGAUGUUGUUUUUCAAAUUAAAUUCCUGCUAGACGGUGUCUAUUAUCCACGAUGUCGUCACAGUGAGUUUAGAAUGUCGCGCGGGUAAAAGCAGACACUCUUCACACUUUACUCACUCACUCGGUUUGUAGCUGCUCUAGUCUGAUUGAUUGAUACCAUUAGUGGUUCAUCAUGGGACAGAGAAGUUCACGAGUACGAUCUUUUUUGGAUAGCGAGCAGGUUCACGACCCAAACCCCAGCAGCAGCAGCAGCAGCACGGCGGAGGAACAACAUCCUCAUUGGCCUGUUGAUGUUGCUGAGGGAGAGGGAGCCGUGAUUCCCAACUCGCGUCCGAAAAAGAAGAAAAAGAAAGGGGGCAACUUCUUUAAGUGGCUCUCUUUCAGUGGGAAGAAAAAAUCCACCGAAAACAAGAGCUCAGAUCAGGGCGAAAUGAAGGACCAAGAUAUUGAGACGGAAACACCCAGGACAAGUACCGACGAUCAAAAGUCUCUACAGUCCAUCUCCAGAUCUGUAGAGGUCACUGAUCUCGAGGAACCUCCUGUCGGUGUUAUCCGAGUCCUUCCCGCUGCUGAGCCUCUGGAGUUUCAAGAGCUCCAAACUCAAGUUCACGACGCUCCAGCAGGUGAAACGUCUCCUCUGACGAAACCGCUGGACAGUAAUGAAGUGAACAUGAGACCUGAGGACAACAUCUGCUGCCGAUAUGCAAUUGGCCGUAAGCUGGGGCAAGGUGGAUUUGGUGCUGUCUAUGAAGGCACUCGUUUGGCAGAUGGCCAUCAGGUGGCAGUGAAAUUUGUCAAAAAGACAAAACACACGGAAUGUAUCAGUAUUCCUGAUCAUCCCGAGCCCCUUCCCAAAGAAGUCGCUCUGACAAUCCUGGCCAAUAAAGGUCCAGUGAAGGACAUCAUCGAGCUGCUGGACUGGCAGGACCAGCAGGACUUCUACGUCAUGGUCCUCGAGCGUCUCUCGCACAGCAUGGAUGUGUCUCGCUUAGUGCAAGGCAACGGCGGCAGCAUCGACGAGAACUUUGCUCGGCUCAUCAUUUGGGGGGCAACACUAGCCGCUGAGGCGUGCUGUCGCCGCGGGGUUUACCAUGGGGACAUCAAAUUAGAGAACCUCCUGAUAGACUUGAAGAACCUCGAAGUCAAACUCAUUGACUUUGGAUGCGGCGAUCUCCUGACAGAAUCUGCCUACACGAGAUUCUGUGGCACAAUCAUGUACUGCCCUCCCGAGUACAGGAUGAAGGGCGAGUUUCAUGGAAAGCCGGCGACGGUCUGGACUCUGGGGAUCCUCUUGUUCAGAAUGCUGUGCGGAUACUUUCCAGAUACUUUUGACCUGUACAGGAUCAAUAUGAACACCUGGUACAAACCGGGCUUGACAGAAGGUUGCUGCCAUUUGAUCUGCUCUCUUCUGCAGCAGAAGCCUGAGUGUCGGCCUGAUCUGGAAAGGAUUGUUAACCAUGAAUGGUUUUCGGUGUAAGUCCGGUCACAGCCACUCCAGAAGUGUCAUCGGUUCAGAAAAUCUCUUUCUGUUUGAUGAAAAAAUCCACCAAAAACAAGAACUCAGGAUGAGAUGAAGGACCAAAGUACUGAGAUGGAAACAUCCAGAAGUACCGACAGUAAAUGACAAACAUUUUAUGAGAAUAUUGAACUCUAUGUGUAAGAGCGGUCACUCCAGAAGUGUCAUCUGUUCAUCUGUGUGUCUGAAUCCAGUGGCGUCUCCAUCCAUCCGCUUUAGCCUCUUCCAUCUUGGCUUGAAGUAGCAACAUUAGCAUCUGGCAAUAUUGCUUUCCG